rnacentral:rRNA from 1 species
CCUACGGGUGGCAGCAGUAGGGAAUUUUCCACAAUGGACGAAAGUCUGAUGGAGCAACGCCGCGUGAGUGAAGAAGGGCUUCGGCUCGUAAAGCUCUUUUGGUAGUGAAGAAAGAUAGUGGUAGUAACUGGCCUUUAUUUGACGGUAAUUACUGAGAAAGUAACGGCUAACUACGUGCCAGCAGCCGCGGUAAUACGUAGGUGGCAAGCGUUGUCCGGAUUUAUUGGGCGUAAAGCGAGUGCAGGCGGUUCAAUAAGUCUGAUGUGAAAGCCUUGGGCUCAACCGGAGAAUUGCAUCAGAAACUGGGUAACUAGAGUGCAGUAGAGGGGGGUAGAACUCCAUGUGUAGCGGUGGAAUGCGUAGAUAUAUGGAAGAAUACCAGAGGCGAAGGCAGCUCUCUGGUCUGCAACUGACGCUGAGGUGCGAAAGCAUGGGUAGCGAACAGGAUUAGAUACCCUAGUAGUC